GAUGAAGAACGCAGCGAAAUGCGAUAAGUAAUGUGAAUUGCAGAAUUCAGUGAAUCAUCGAAUCUUUGAACGCACCUUGCACCCUUUGGUAUUCUGAAGGGUAUGCUCGUUUGAGUGUCAUUGUACUCUCACACUCCCGAUCUUGAGUUGGGAGCGGUGGACUUGGGUUUGCUGCUUAACUGUGGCUCGCCUUAAAUGAAGUAGUGCAACUCUCGGUUGGACAUAGUACGGCGUGAUAAGUGUCUUCGCCGGCGCCUCAUUCGAGGGUGGCCGAUCGGGAGCUCUGUGCUUCAAACUGUCUUCGGACAACAUCUGACAACUUGACCUCAAAUCGAGUAGGACUACCCGCUGAACUUAAGCAUAUCAAUAAGCGGAGGA
rnacentral:misc_RNA from 1 species